rnacentral:lncRNA from 1 species
GGGUAAUACACUGUGUACCGGUACAAAAUAAUUCUGUCACUGGUACACAGCCUUUUUAGGACUUAGCCAAUUUUUUUAGCUUUUCUCUGUUUUCGCUCGUUUUCGCUCGUUAGCCCUCUGAUUCAUCUCAAAUCGCACUGAGACCCCCAAAACAUGUUUUCAAGCAUAUCUCAACCAUCUUUUCAUCCACGCUUAUGCCGGAUUUAAUUCAUAGUCCAACAUAGCUUUUGGGUUCCGUUUUCGCGCUCAACGCGCACCGGAACACCCGAAUGCUCCCGAACCUCAAUCUCGCAUUGUUUCGACUCCAAUUGGCGCCGAAUAAUGCUAAAACCCUUCCAACUCCCUUGGAACUCAACUUUAACCCUUCCAAUAUUGUUGGAAUGUUAAAUAGACUUUGUCCAACAAUUUCUUUCGCACAUUUUAGUCAAUUCGACUAAAGUUUAAUAUUCUCUACCGAGUUUCGGUAUAUUACACUCCCUUUCUCUCCUGAACCGGUCGCCCUCCUCUCUCUUCCCCUCUCUCUAUCGCGUUGUCUCUGCCGUUCUCUCUCUCUACCUGUAAGAAAGUGAAUUCUCGAAAAUGUGAGAGUUGAACUUCGUUUGGAAUCGACUGAUUGUCGGUUGGGUAUGCUUCAGAGAGGCCGAAGGCGUCAAAAA